rfam:Trametes pubescens strain FBCC735 TRAPTBscaffold_1628, whole genome shotgun sequence.
GGCCGCCUGGCGAAAUGGCAUCGCGUCUGACUACGAUCUUACGUAAUGAUCAGGAGAUUGCAGGUUCGACCCCUGCGGUGGUCA